GUGAUCGUAGCUCAAUCGGCAGAGCAUCCGGCCGUGGUCCGGAGGGUGCGGGAUCAGUACCCCGCCGAUCACC
rnacentral:tRNA from 1 species